rnacentral:misc_RNA from 1 species
CUGAGUGCGGGCUGCCUCCGGGCGCCCAACCUCCCACCCGUGAAUACCUAACACUGUUGCUUCGGCGGGGAACCCCCUCGGGGGCGAGCCGCCGGGGACUACUGAACUUCAUGCCUGAGAGUGAUGCAGUCUGAGUCUGAAUAUAAAAUCAGUCA